GUCGAACGGCAGCGCGGACUUCGGUCUGGCGGCGAGUGGCGAACGGGUGAGUAAUACAUCGGAACGUACCCUGUUGUGGGGGAUGACUAGUCGAAAGAUUAGCUAAUACCGCAUACGACCUGAGGGUGAAAGUGGGGGACCGCAAGGCCUCACGCAGCAGGAGCGGCCGAUGUCUGAUUAGCUAGUUGGUGGGGUAAAGGCCCACCAAGGCGACGAUCAGUAGCUGGUCUGAGAGGACGAUCAGCCACACUGGGACUGAGACACGGCCCAGACUCCUACGGGAGGCAGCAGUGGGGAAUUUUGGACAAUGGGGGCAACCCUGAUCCAGCAAUGCCGCGUGUGUGAAGAAGGCCUUCGGGUUGUAAAGCACUUUUGUCCGGAAAGAAAUCGCGCUGGUUAAUACCUGGCGUGGAUGACGGUACCGGAAGAAUAAGCACCGGCUAACUACGUGCCAGCAGCCGCGGUAAUACGUAGGGUGCGAGCGUUAAUCGGAAUUACUGGGCGUAAAGCGUGCGCAGGCGGUUUUGUAAGACAGGCGUGAAAUCCCCGGGCUUAACCUGGGAAUUGCGCUUGUGACUGCAAGGCUAGAGUGCGUCAGAGGGGGGUAGAAUUCCACGUGUAGCAGUGAAAUGCGUAGAGAUGUGGAGGAAUACCGAUGGCGAAGGCAGCCCCCUGGGACGUGACUGACGCUCAUGCACGAAAGCGUGGGGGAGCAAACAGGAUUAGAUACCCUGGUAGUCCACGCCCUAAACGAUGUCAACUAGUUGUUGGGGAUUCAUUUUCUCAGUAACGUAGCUAACGCGUGAAGUUGACCGCCUGGGGAGUACGGUCGCAAGAUUAAAACUCAA
rnacentral:rRNA from 1 species